UACCUAUUAAACCAAUAACUGUCCCGAA
rnacentral:sRNA from 1 species